CUGAGUCGAGGUGCUGCAUGGCUGUCGUCAGCUCGUGUCGUGAGAUGUUGGGUUAAGUCCCGCAACGAGCGCAACCCUUGUCCUGUGUUGGCAUGCCGAAAGGCGCAACUCUCAGGAGACCGCCAGCGAUAAGUUGGAGGAAGGUGGGGAUGACGUCAAGUCAUCAUGGCCUUUAUGUCCAGGGCUACACACGUGCUACAAUGGGCGGUACAAAGCGCUGCAGACCCGCGAGGGGGAGCUAAUCGCAAAAAACCGUUCUCAGUUCGGAUUGCAGGCUGCAAUUCGCCUGCAUGAAGCUGGAAUCGCUAGUAAUGGCAUAUCAGAACGAUGCCGUGAAUACGUUCCCGGGCCUUGUACACACCGCCCGUCACAUCACGAAAGUGGGUUGUACUAGAAGUCUGCAUGCUAACCCGCAAGGGAGGCAGCGGCCCAAGGUAUGACUCAUGAUUGGGGUGAAGUCGUAACAAGGUAGCCGUA
rnacentral:rRNA from 1 species